rnacentral:rRNA from 1 species
GACGAACGCUGGCGGCGUGCUUAACACAUGCAAGUCGAACGGUAAGGCCCUUCGGGGUACACGAGUGGCGAACGGGUGAGUAACACGUGGGUGAUCUGCCCUGCACUUCGGGAUAAGCCUGGGAAACUGGGUCUAAUACCGGAUAGGACUCCUGGCUUCAUGGUUGGGGGUGGAAAGCUUUUGCGGUGUGGGAUGGGCCCGCGGCCUAUCAGCUCGUUGGUGGGGUAAUGGCCUACCAAGGCGACGACGGGUAGCCGGCCUGAGAGGGUGACCGGUAGCACUGGGACUGGGAUGCGGCCCAGACUCCUACGGGGGGCAGCAGUGGGGAAUAUUGCACAAUGGGCGCAAGCCUGAUGCAGCGACGCCGCGUGAGGGAUGACGGCCUUCGGGUUGUAAACCUCUUUCAGCUAUGACGAAGCGCAAGUGACGGUAGUAGCAGAAGAAGGACCGGCCAACUACGUGCCAGCCGCCGCGGUAA